UGGUAGCUGGCGGCCGCCUAACACCUGCAAGUUAACGAAGUAGCAUACUUAGUGGCAGACGGGUGAGUAACAUGUGGGUAUCUGCCCUUUGGCCUGGAAUAACACGAGGAAACUUGUGCUAAUACCGGAUAAGUCUUUACGGAGAAAGCUUUAUGCACCAUUGGAUGAGCCCGCACUUGAUUAGUUUGUUGGUGGGGUAAAGGCCUACCAAGACUGUGAUCAAUAGCUGAUUUGAGAGGAUGAUCAGCCACAUUGGGACUGAGACACGGCCCAAACUCCUACAGGAGGCAGCAGUGGGGAAUCUUGCACAAUGGAGGAAACUCUGAUGCAGCGAUGCCGCGUGAGUGAAGAAGGCCCUUGGGUUGUAAAGCUCUUUCGUCGGGGAAGAAAAUGACUGUACCCGAAUAAGAAGGUCCGGCUAACUUCGUGCCAGCAGCCGCGGUAAUACGAAGGGACCUAGCGUAGUUCGGAAUUACUGGGCUUAAAGAGUUCGUAGGUGGUUGAAAAAGUUAGUGGUGAAAUCCCAGAGCUUAACUCUGGAACUGCCAUUAAAACUUUUCAGCUAGAGUAUGAUAGAGGAAAGCAGAAUUUCUAGUGUAGAGGUGACAUUCGUAGAUAUUAGAAAGAAUACCAUUGCGAAGGCAGCAUCUGGAUCAUACUGACCU
rnacentral:rRNA from 1 species